rnacentral:lncRNA from 1 species
AUGUGUGGGAUGAGCCUCCUGUUCAAACUCACGGAACAGCAUUUCCCUUUGGCACAGGGAGUGCACGGAGAGCCAGGAGGCGCCUCGGAGAGCAGCCCCUCGCAGUGCCCUGGAGAGCGAGGAGCUCCUCAGGGACCUCGUGGGCUCACUGAACGCCAGAGACUUCCGCGAGCGCAUCCGUGGGGUGCGCCAGCUGCUGCUGGACACGGAGAGCAGCCCGGCCCUGGUGCUCGCCAACAUCGUCAGGAUCUUCGAUGCUUUCAAGCCUCGCUUGCACGACUCCAACAGCAAAGUGACCCAGGUGGCUCUGGAGGCCAUGCACAGGAUGGUUCCACUGCUCAAAGACAAUUUGUCACCUGUGAUCAACAUGCUGAUUCCUGCCAUAGUGGACAACAACCUCAACUCCAAAAACCCAGGGAUUUAUGCAGCUGCCACCAAUGUGAUCCAGGCUCUAUGUCAACACUUAGACACCUCCCUGCUCCUGCAGCCGUUCUGCACAAAAGCCCAGUUCCUGAGUGGAAAAGCAAAGCAGGACCUGACAGAAAAGCUGGCUGAGCUGGUGCUGGCGCUGUAUCCCUCUCAAAGGCCAAGAUUCUAUAGAAAUUGUAAU